CACGUAGUUGGCCGGCGCUUCUUCUGCAGGUACCGUCACUUACGCUUCGUCCCUGCUGAAAGAGGUUUACAACCCGAAGGCCGUCAUCCCUCACGCGGCGUCGCUGCAUCAGGCUUCCGCCCAUUGUGCAAUAUUCCCCACCGCUGCCUCCCGUAGGAGUCUGGGCCGUGUCUCAGUCCCAGUGUGGCCGGUCGCCCUCUCAGGCCGGCUACCCGUCGUCGCCUUGGUAGGCCAUCACCCCACCAACAAGCUGAUAGGCCGCGAGCCCAUCCCAAGCCGAAAAACUUUCCACCCAGCCUCAUGCGAGGCCAGGUCCUAUUCGGUAUUAGCCCCGGUUUCCGGGGUUAUCCCAAAGCCUGGGGCAGGUUGCUCACGUGUUACUCACCCGUUCGCCGCUCGAGUACCCCGAAGGGCCUUUCCGCUCGACUUGCAUGUGUUAAGCACGCCCGCCAGCGUUCGUCCGUGAGUCCAGGAGUCAAACUCGU
rnacentral:rRNA from 1 species